UACGUAGGUGGCAAGCGUUGUCCGGAUUUAUUGGGUUUAAAGGGUGCGUAGGCGGCCCUGUAAGUCAGUGGUGAAAUACUCCAGCUUAACUGGAGGGGUGCCAUUGAUACUGCAGGGCUUGAGUGGAGUCGAAGUAGGCGGAAUUGACGGUGUAGCGGUGAAAUGCAUAGAUAUCGUCAAGAACACCGAUAGCGAAGGCAGCUUACCAAGCUGUAACUGACACUGAGGCACGAAAGUGUGGGGAUCAAACAGG
rnacentral:rRNA from 1 species